rnacentral:rRNA from 1 species
GACGAACGCUGGCGGCGUGCUUAACACAUGCAAGUCGAACGGAAAGGCCCUGCUUUUGGGGGGUGCUCGAGGGGCGAACGGGUGAGUAACACGUGAGUAACCUGCCCUUGACUUUGGGAUAACUUCAGGAAACUGGGGCUAAUACCGGAUAGGAGCUCCUGCGGCAGGGGGGGGGUUGGAAAGUUUCGGCGGUUGGGGAUGGACUCGCGGCUUAUCAGCUUGUGGGUGGGGUAGUGGCUUACCAAGGCUUUGACGGGUAGCCGGCCUGAGAGGGUGACCGGCCACAUUGGGACUGAGAUACGGCCCAGACUCCUACGGGAGGCAGCAGUGGGGAAUAUUGCACAAUGGGCGGAAGCCUGAUGCAGCAACGCCGCGUGCGGGAUGACGGCCUUCGGGUUGUAAACCGCUUUCGCCUGUGACGAAGCGUGAGUGACGGUAAUGGGUAAAGAAGCACCGGCUAACUACGUG